AUUGAAACACCGGAUCCCGUAGGAUCACCGAAGUUAAGGAACGUCGAGCCUGGUAAGUACCGAGAUGGGUGAUCACUUG